rnacentral:rRNA from 1 species
GACGAAGGAUCCAAGCGUUAUCCGGAUUUAUUGGGUUUAAAGGGUGCGUAGGCGGAUUGAUAAGUCAGUGGUGAAAGCCUGCAGCUUAACUGCAGAACUGCCAUUGAUACUGUCAAUCUUGAAUAUGUUUGAUGUGGGCGGAAUAUGACAUGUAGCGGUGAAAUGCUUAGAUAUGUCAUAGAACACCGAUUGCGAAGGCAGCUCACAAAGCCAUUAUUGACGCUGAGGCACGAAAGCGUGGGGAUCAAACAGG